AAAUAUAUGUAAAUACUUCGUGGGAUCGGAAACUCUUCCUUCUGGGCGUAACACACAGAGACAUUCACCACAAAACUAAUAUAGCCCUAAACUCUGCGAGUGCCGGGUAUAACAAACUUUCUUUCAACUGGUGGUGGUUGGUUUUACAGCAACAUUUCGACCCUGCCUGUGUUUGGAUACCACGAAAGACUUCAAUGCCGAACGAGUUGUGUGUUGUGUUCGAACUUGCGUUGAGGGUGGACUCUCCUCCGGUCCUCGUCGUGCUUCAUACGAAUCAUAUUAUGGUUCCUACAUUAGGAUCCGAAAGGAAACAGAGCACUGCACUGCAAGUUUAUGGAUUAAAUGAAAGCAUUCGUUUCUCUCGCUCAUAUCGCAUGCUCGUCUCAUAAGGACUGGUCUCACAGUCUUCAAUGGCAGUAUGGAGGAAUACGAUCAUUAACGACGCACAUUCAAAAUGGCACUCAUCAAAUGCACGUAGCCCACAAACAAAUGAAAUGGAUUUCAAAUGUAUAUUUUGGAUAGAUAACAUGUAAAAAAAUCAAGGAGGAAUAAUUUAACGCAAAAUUAACAAACUGGGGCUCCUUCGUUCAAGUUGAGCUUUACAAUAACGUUUAUCAAAAGAUACAAAGAUAUAAGUUGGAUUAUUAUGUGGUACCAAUACCAACUUAUCACAUCAAACAUUUAAUUCUACAAUAAGAAAUUAAAAGUUUAAUCGUCAAGC